rnacentral:lncRNA from 1 species
ACUGAAUUUUUGAAAGUAGCUGCUUUUUGGGGUACUGGAAGCUGCAGUGAAGACAGCUGGAGCGGUCAGGAUAGGAAGGGUUUUUAUUAUUAUUUUCCGUUUCUUUUUCUGGCCCGUCCCCUGCCCCCUCAAGUCCUUUCUUGGGCCAGAGGCCAGCUGUGGCCUCCAGGAAAGGAAGUUUUGUCUUUGAGUACCACUCUGCCAAACAUCUUGCAGGACUUGUGUGUGACGUGAAGCACUCGAGAGGUGUGAUACACACUUACACACUGUUCGGCGUCGGGGCGUCAAGUUGAGAACCCCCACUGUCCCAUUUCCUCCCGCUGUCUCCUGUCCACACCUGAGUCUCCUCUCUGAAGGGCCUGCUGGGCCCUAUGGGGAGCAGAGAGAAACCCACGCCACCGCCUGGCCUUGAAGAGAGAAGACAAGACUCACAGGCAGAUACACCAAGUGGACCGUUGCAUCGCUUCCUCCUCUCCGAGCCUCAGUUUCCUCACCAGUGAAGUGGGCGG